GCUGAGAAUAUGGCAGAGCUUGUUUUGGUUCUUUCCAUCUGAUCACUUCAUCCUUCCAGGCACUGGGCAUCCAGAGUUAAAUAGAUGCAACCCCUGCUGUGGAGAAGCUUACAGUGCCGUGAGAGGAAGUGACAGAUAUACACUGAAUGCCUGCUAAGUGCCUGGCUCCAUUUUUGGACUGGAAAUGGCAAGUAUCUGGGCCAGGAAAGGACUUUAAAGUCAUUGAAUUCAGUAGUUCUCAAAUACAGACCCUCAAACUGGUGCUGCUCGGCGAUAUUUUCACUGCUUUACAGAAAAGUGAGGAAAAGAGAGUGAUGUUUGGAAAGCCAAGAAUGACUGCAAUAGUGGAUGAUAAUUGAAUUAGUGGUAAUAUCCAUUGUUGGCAAAAAGUUGGCAACCCUCUGUAAUUCCUCUGACUUUUUUUGGUGGAGAAAAUUUGUAUUGGUCUGAGAAAUAGAAAAUCUGGAAUGCAUCCACAUCAACCAGUUUCAAUUCCUCUACACCUGAGCCCCUCCUCCAGCAGCAUCACCUUCCUA
rnacentral:lncRNA from 1 species